CUCGGCUCUGAGCGCAGCUGAGGGGAGUUGUGUGUCCUCAGGCACUGCCGGGGCUGCGGCUGGGACGCUGGGCUCAGCGUCUGUGCUGACAGGAGCUCGGUCUCCUCAGGACUCGCUGGGGUUUCGGCUUCAGGACAACGUGGGGCUGCGUCCACGCUGACGGGAGCUGGGUUUCCUGAGGACGCAGGCGACGCCGGCGGAAAAGGAGUUGCCAGGCUGCCACCUGCUAAAGAAGAGGAUGUGUCACCAUACCUGCCGCUGGAAUUUCUCCCCGGGCAGAGGGUCGCAUAGGACAUGGGGUCAUCAUCUGUUUAGUCUCCUCUUGGCUCUGACAGUUGCUCAGACUCUCCUUGCUUCCAUGACCCUGACAGCAUGGAGGGCUGCUCAGAGCACAGGCUCCGGACACGCAAGCUCAGCGGCCAUGGCUCACGGGCCCAGCCGCUCCGUGGCACGUGGGAUCCUCCCGUACCGGGGCACGAACCCGUGUCCCCUGCAUCGGCAGGCGGACUCUCAACCACUGCGCCACCAGGGAAGCCCCAAACAUUUUAAUAAUAGUCAUUUUUCUGAUGCAUGAGCAUGGAAUAUUGUUUUCUAUUGUGUCUUCAGUUUCCUUAUCAAUGCUUUAUAGUUUUCUGAGUAUAGGUCUUUCAUGUCCUUGGUUAAAUUUAUUCCUAAAUAGUUUGUUCUUUUUGAUGGAAUUGUAAAUGGGAUUGUUUUCUUGAUUUUUUUUGCUGGUGGUUCAUUAUUAGUGUGCAGAAAUAAAACUGAUUUGUGUAUAUUGAUUCCAUAUUUUGCAACUUUACUGAAUUUAUUUUUUAACAUAUUUUUUGAAGUAAUGUGAAAAAUUGUAAUACUAAAAUCUCACUGUUUCUACUGCACCCCAGGUAAUCCACAGGACCCACGCCAUGGUAGCUAACUAACAUCCUCUUCCCACGGUGCCUGUUAAUACCGUGUGGACUCCUACAAGGGAAUCUCAGAUUUACCUGACGGCCACCACUCACAGCUCCCGCAGAGCCCAGAGAUUUCUCCUGGAAGGAAAGGUUCUGGAAAAUCAGAGGGAUAAAUAAAGGAUGCAGCUGAUUCCCGCCUUGUGCUGACGCCCAAGAGGGUGAGGAGAGUGAGUGUUUUCUCAUUAGAAUUUUAAAUCCUCCAAGUAAUAGAUCAUUGGGGGGGCAUCCAGUGUUCUCCUGCUCAUUCUAAUAAUGUCAUUCCUGAAUUUUAAUGUGGUAAAUAAUUUAUAUUAUAAAUAUGCUGAGGGGGCGAUAUCCAUUUAAAAAAUGUUAGAGGUAACUCCAAGGGAUUUACAACAAACAAGGACACAGAACCCUGUGU